rnacentral:rRNA from 1 species
GACUACCCGGGUAUCUAAGCCCGUUCGCUACCCUAGCUUUCGCACAUCAGCGUCAGUAGUGGACCAGAGAGCCGCCUUCGCCGCCGGUGUUCCUCCUGAUAUCUACGCAUUUCACCGCUCCACCAGGAGUUCCGCUCUCCCCUACCACACUCUAGCUACGCAGUAUGCCUCACAAUUCACACGGGUGAGCCGUGGGAUUUCACAAGACACUUACGUAGCCGCCUACGCGCGCUUUAUGCCCAGUAAUUCCGAACAACGUUCGCACCCUCUGUAUUACCGCGGCUGCUGGCACAGAGUUAGCCGGUGCUUCCUUCCGGGCUUACGUCAAAACGUGGCCUGUUAAACCACGCCAUUUCAUAACCCGUGACAGGAGUUUACAACCCGAAGGCCUUCAUCCUCCACGCGGCGUCGCUCCGUCAGGCUUUCGCCCAUUGCGGAAGAUUCUCGACUGCAGCCCCCCGUAGG